UCCAGACUCCUACGGGAGGCAGCAGUGAGGAAUAUUGGUCAAUGGGCGGAAGCCUGAACCAGCCAAGUCGCGUGAGGGAAGAAGGCCCUGCGGGUCGCAGACCUCUUUGGACGGGGAGCAAGGCCGCCGACGUGUCGGCGGAAGGAGAGUACCCGUAGAACAAGCAUCGGCUAACUCCGUGCCAGCAGCCGCGGUAAUACGGAGGAUGCGAGCGUUAUCCGGAUUUAUUGGGUUUAAAGGGUGCGCAGGCGGGAGAUCAAGUCAGCGGUAAAAUGUCGGGGCUCAACCCCGGCCGGCCGUUGAAACUGGUUUUCUAGAGUUGGAGAGAAGUAUGCGGAAUUCGUGGUGUAGCGGUGAAAUGCAUAGAUAUCACGAAGAACUCCGAUUGCGAAGGCAGCAUACCGGCUCCAUACUGACGCUGAGGCACGAAAGCGUGGGGAUCGAACAGGAUUAGAUACCCGAGUA
rnacentral:rRNA from 1 species